AGAAUUUGAUCCUAGUUCAGGACGAACGCUAGCGGCGUGCCUAAGGUAUGCAAGUCGAACGGUUUUAUAGUCGCAAGAUCAUUUAACAGUGGCGAACGGCUGAGUAACACACAGGAAUCUACCCAUAAGUAGAGGAUAGCCCGGCGAAAGCUGGAGUAAUACUCUAUGUGUCUGCCUUCGGCAGAUAAAGCUGUACAGCAAUGUAUGGCGCUUAAGGAUGAGCCUAUGGCCUAUCAGGUAGUUGGCGGGGUAAAUGCCCACCAAGCCUAUAACGGGUAGCCGGUCUGAGAGGACGAACGGCCAGAAGGGCACUGAGACACGGGCCUUACUCCUACGGGAGGCAGCAAUUGGGAAUUUUGCACAAUGGACGAAAGUCUGAUGCAGCGACGCCGCGUGAAGGAUGACAGCCCUAGGGUUGUAAACUUCGAUAAAGCACCGGCAAACUACGUGCCAGCAGCAGCGGUCAUACGUAGGGUGCAAGCGUUGUCCGGAUUUACUGGGCGUAAAGAGUUCUGUAGGCGGUUGUGUAAGUUAGAAGUUAAAUCUUUGGGCUCAACCCAAAAACUGCUUUUAAUACUGCGCAACUAGAGACAUCUAGGGGACAGCGGAACUUAUGGUGGAGCAGUAAAAUGCGUUGAUAUCAUAGGGAACACCAAGGGGGUAGCCAGCUGUCUGGGGAUGUACUGACGCUGAGAGACGAAAGCGUGGGUAGAAAAACGGAUUAGAUAAAUCCGCGUGCGUAUAUUUAUACGCACUAAAACAGGUGUCCCCUUUCACAGCAAUGUGAGAGUGCGCAUCUAGCUAUAUCGGUGAAUGCCUUUACAAUAUGGGUACUAUAUACAUACCCGUAAAGGUUAACCCCGAGGGAAGUCCGCCCCGCAUGCGCAAGCAAGCUUUGGCGGACCCCGUAGAGACUAUGAAGUUUUCUGACAGUUGGCGGGAUGGUAUAAUUCAUAUUAAUAUGAGUAAAACCGUUUUACCUUUGUCGCAAGAAUGCAGAGAAAUUAUUCUAGGAAGUUUAUUGGGGGAUGGAUCCUUAAAGAUUCACCAAAACUAUGUAACUCCAAGAUUUUCUUUUAGACAUUCGAUUAAGCAAACCAGCUACUUUAAGUGGAAGGUUAGCAAGUUAACCGAAAUAUCAACGGAGAAAAAUGUUUGGUUGCAAAAACCAGA
rnacentral:rRNA from 1 species